CGCAUCUGUGCAUGCAGCAUAUCAAUAAGCGGAGGAAAAGAAACUAACAAGGAUUCCCUUAGUAACGGCGAGUGAAGCGGGAAGAGCUCAAAUUUGAAAUCUUCAAGGGUUUACCUUUACGAAUUGUAGUUUAAAGAAGUGUUUUCUGUUGAGGUUUUGGUAAAAGUUCUUUGGAAUAGGACAUCAUAGAGGGUGAGAAUCCCGUAUUUGACCUUUACUUUCAACUUUGUGAUACACUUUCAAAGAGUCGGAUUGUUUGGGAAUGCAGUCCAAAAUGGGUGGUAAAUUUCAUCUAAAGCUAAAUAUUGGCGAGAGACCGAUAGCGAACAAGUACCGUGAGGGAAAGAUGAAAAGAACUUUGAAAAGAGAGUUAAACAGUACGUGAAAUUGUCAAAAGGGAAGCGUUUGACACCAGUGUUGUUUUUCUGAAAAUCAAUUAAAGAACUGUUUAUGCUAAGCUGUUUAGACUUUAUCAGCUAACUGUUUAGUUUUGAGCUUUUCUUUAAUGCACUUUUCAGUUAACAAGUCAACAUCAAUUUCUUUUGCUGUAAAAAAGCUUGAGGAAGGUGGCUUGAGAUUCGUCUUAAGUGUUUAUAGCCUCUUGCCUAUGCAGUCGGAGAGAUUGAGGUCUGCAGCGUAGAUCCUUCGGGGCUAAAUGCAUUUGUGCUAAGUUAUAGCAUUUUAUAGACAACUUGUUGACUAUGAUUUGUCUUGUAGCUUACUCGCUUAUGUUAUUUUACCUACGCUUAGGAUGUUGAUAGUCACAGCGUGUAC
rnacentral:rRNA from 1 species